UUAAGUUUCUUUUAUUUUAUAUAACAUUAUACAAUACGUAUUCACAAAAAUGAUUGAAAAAGAAAGCAAAUUUCUAAGUCCUUGUUUCGUAAUGUUUUGAUGUAUUCAAAGGAUUAUGUAAUCGAAGAGAAAGAGCAAUGUCUUAACAGUGAUGUUACGACAACGGGAGGGACACUUCCUUCAACAAGGCGCACCAUGAUCGGAAAGAGAAAGAGAGAGAGAGCAUUACACCUUUACGAUUAUGCAGCAAAUGCGAUUAUCGCGGUUGACCGUUCUUCGAAGAAUAACAUCAAAAGGGAUACAGAAAUACAGAGUUCGACCGGUUUAAAAUGAUUUCACCUUGAUUCGUAUCGAUAUUAUUACCUUUAAAGAGAAGUAUACGGGAAUACAAGAGGAAUAAAAGUGGAUAGAGUUGUCUCGAAGUAAAUUUUUAUAAAAAUACGUGGUAUGACGCAACUAUCGAUCAAUUUCGUAACUUUAGUAAUUUUUUUUCUGGGCAACAAGAAAGUACUAUUGUAUACUUUUAUUCGUCAUGAAUUGAGCUGUCGUAGAAAAACGUGCUUCUUUCCAGCCAUGUUUUACAUGUUUUAAAAAAUCAUAACAUGUCUAAAUUAUUAUUCUGAAUACUUCGUCGUCGGGAUAAACGUGCUCAAAGAUUGUUCAAGCCUCCUUUAAUCAGGAAUUUCAACGAAACUUGGAACGUUGGAACUUUUAUCAAAAAGAGAAAAAAAUAAAGUUAAAAAGGUAUUAAUUAAACAAUAUCCCGGAAAAUAUUGAAGUCGGUGAACGAAAUUAAUAUAUAUAAUCGACAACCGAGGAUGAAACGAUGCUCGUUAAACGGAAAACGAGACGACAAUCGUGUUCGACGUUCCUUCAUUAUAUUAUCAUCGUCCUUACGAACAAUUAUCGGGAGUAGAUCGUAGCCAAUAAUGAAUCUGAAUGAGGAUCGUUCGAUUGUUACAUCAAGAAAUUACGUGUCGCGUUUACGCUACCGCAGACGAUGGUUAAUUGUCCUCGAGAAAAAAGUGGAGAGGAGGAGGAGGAGGAGGAGGAGGAAGAGGAGGAGAAAAGAAGGCUGGAAGGGAGAAGAAGCGUUGAUAGAGGAGAAUCUUAAUAGAGUGAUCGACGCCACGUUGCACGCCACGUUCCUCGAUCCCGUUUCUCAGAAUCGUCGUGGCCAAGCCUCGUUGAUUCUCGCCUGUUAACUUUGUCGUUGCUUUUCUAAUUAAAGAAGGUCAGGGAUUCCCUUCGCGCCGACGAUCUUUGAGGGGAAAAAAAAAAGAAGACGGAGGUUUGCGAAAUUCUUUGUUCUUAUCUUUCAACGAUGCCUUUCAACCACUGUUGUCUAUCGCCGUUGCGAGACACCUUUCUCGAGACAAGGCAUUUCCGUAUUUUAUAUUUUUUUUUUCGCGUGUUAAAUGAAACUAUGAAAUUCACUUGAAUUUUCCAUAACAUAACAGAUUACUAUUUGGAUUAUCACGAGUGAAAAAUUUUUGUUUCGAAAGGAAUGUAACUUGCACCGUAUGAAAAAAUGUCAAAUCUCUACAUACUCGCAACUUCAGUUAGUUUCACUUUCUUCUUUAAGAGAUAAGUUAGCAAACUUUGACUUCUAUAUAUAUAUAUCAUGAUCCAACAGAAUUAACAAGCAAUACAAACAAUUUCCCAGGAGAAGAAGUUUCUAGAAGUAGGUGAAACUCGAUAUCCAGCGAAGGAACGACGGUUACCGAUGGAAUUCACCAAAUCCAUAUAUGUAUAAUCCAAAGUAAACUCUGGCGGUCUUUAAACAGGUCGCAGAACGGAUUGGAAAAAUUAUUUUCCAUCCGUAUCUAUUCGCAAGAGAUCACGUAUCGCGCAAACGAGACAGUUAGUUAACUGUGCCGAAGCAAUAAAGUGCCGGCAAAGGCAGAUCCUGGCGGGGGGGUUGAAUCGCGGAAUCGAUCGAGGAACGUGUAGCGUACCGAGCGCAGGACGCACAGUUGACAUCAUCAGAACGUCGACCUUUCUGAACGAUCUCGGAUACGGUCUCGCGUUACAUCGUCUCGUUCUGCUAAUGAGAAUUACGCAACUGCACGCAUCAAAUCCGGCUGGCGCAUUCUCGCGUACCGGAAUCACUUUCCGGAGUGGCUCUCCCCGUCCGCGGUGUACCAGAGGAUCGAGUUCCCUCGGAUUGACACGGAGAAAGCCGAUAGGAGGAAACAAUAUCGCUCAAAGACGCGUCAAUCUUUUUUCAUCUUUAACCUGAAAGAAAAAAAAGAUGAAACAAAGAGAUGAUAUGCACAAUAUGUAAAAAACAUACGCGUAUAUAAAUUGAUCGGUGAGUGAUGGGGAGAAAAAUCGAAAAUGCGAAAAUGGUAAAAAGUGGGAAGAAGGAUAGAGAAUCAAAUCAGAGAUUCACCGAUAUACGUGUUUAUUGGAAGGAGAGGUGGAAAAUGGGAGAACGAAUGGAAAGACAGAAGGAGGAUGAAAGGCGAAAGGAGAGGGAGAGAGGGAGAGAAAGAGAGAGAAGAGCCGGGCCACCCAACGAAUCCCCAGAGAAGCGACGGCGGUGGGAGUAUUGAUCCGGAAUGCCGGCGACCGGCUGCCUCGAACGCUCUCCUUUACCUUCUCUCCCCCUAUCUCUAUCUCUUUUCCUUCCUUCCUUCCUUCCUUUCUUCCUUUCUUCCUAUGUACACCGACUUUUCUUUCUAUCCUUUCCUUCUUCCUUCUUCCUCUUCGUUUAGUCCAAGUAUUCGCAUCCAACCUUCACUCCAUCCCUGAAACCAUAACUAAACCACGAAUUACUUCGUUUGCCUCUUGCUUCGUCUUCGAUUUCAGAUCUAGAUCUGAUUUCAGAUCAUCCAUCCUCUGAUUUCACGCCGCCCUUUCCAUUCGAGAAUAUUAAAACAACACCCCAAGAGAUUGCCUUCUGUUUCUUCCUCUCUCGAUCAUCGCUGCUCAUGACACUUUGCUUUUUCUCGGCAUCCGAUUCUUGAACGUUUGUUCCUUCGCUUUGUUCCCCAUCCCUCUAUUUUAGCCUCCUCGGCACGGAAGUAGUCUCCGUACCGAAUCUGCGUGUUUAUGGCAGUUCCAGAAUAGUUUUUGAAUCGCCACAACUGAUGCCAUUUUCGACUAAAACAUUGCUUUUAAGCGUGCUUUAACAUUUUGUGAUUUGUCUCUAUAGUGUUUGUACAUCGCUUUAGCAAUUACAUGUUUUUGUGUUUUCGGUUUUGCGUUUACGAAUUAAUCCAGAGAGGAACGAUUGUUUCAACAUUUCCGCAAAUGUUUCUACUAGAUUGUAGUGCGUUUAAGCGAAUAAUGUAAAAUGGCCCUUAAACAAAUUUUUGUAAUUUAAAAUUGUUUGAUUCGUGUUAAUUCGAAUUUGGAUAAAUUUAUUUAUUUAUUUUUAUUUUUUUCGUUUGUAAAUAAAAUAUUCGCGUUCGAAUUGGGGAAUUAUGUUAUAGUAUUCGGUGACAAUCGUUAAAGGGGAGAAGACGAGGAUCGAGUAUAUGGAUCGUCUUCGGUAUUCCUUUAACGUUCUUUUCUUUUGUUCCGUGACCUACGAUCUCCUUUGUUCCUUUACCUUGGUGAACUUUGAGUAAGAAGCAACAGAGUUAGAUGAAGUAAGAACCGGUUGUACACACGUGACAUGAUUUCAAGACCGUCUUCUUUUCUUGUUUGGUUUUCUUUGAUUUUUGCUUUUUAUCGAGACACAUUUCGUACAACACUCAUACCACGUUGAUGGACAUUAAAACGAUCGUUUUUUGAUUUAUCGAUAAAUUAAGUUUCCAUUCUUGAUUUUCAAUGAAAAAAUAAAAAGAAAAGCAUAGAACCAGAUCGUUUUUAUACUCGGUUCGUGGUCCAUUCGUUACAUCAAAGAAUCGUGCGCGGUGGGCGAAUAGUCGUAAAAGCAACGUUCAUGUUGCAAGGCCACGAACGUAUAGUACGGCAAGAGUAUGUGAAAGUACCCCGAGUUAUGAAUGAAAUUAUAAAUACAUACAUGCUAGAUGAUCGUGCACGUAAUUCGGCGACGCAUAAUUCUAACUUUGGAACCUUUGGCACCAAUUAUUUUCACACUUUGAAUUUUCUACCACAUUCUUAAUUUUUUUUUUUUUUUAAGAUUAAUUUUUAAUUUUUAAGAUUAUCAGAUAAAACUUCUCACAAUCUUAUUACUUAUGAAAAUGAUUAUUAGGUUUCAAGGAUAAAAAUAUUACAAUUAAAAAAAAUUAGAAAUUUGAUUCCAAAUUAAAAAAAAAUUAUUCACGAUAAAAUAAGAUUGUUUCCAAAACAAUGAUAGAUAUUUUCAUUUAAUCUAGAGCAAGAGGCCCGUGACCCUGGUUUGUACGAAUCUCUGUUAAUAACGGAUAAUAAGAUCGCACUUCCGACAUGCGACAUGACACGGCCGCGUGCCGAAGU